rnacentral:rRNA from 1 species
UACGGAGGGUGCGAGCGUUGUCCGGAAUCAUUGGGCGUAAAGGGCGCGUAGGUGGCCCGGUCAGUUCGUGGUGAAAGCGCGGGGCUCAACCCUGCGUCGGCCAUGGAUACUGGGCGGCUGGAGACAGGUAGAGGCAAGCGGAAUUCCGGGUGUAGCGGUGGAAUGCGUAGAUAUCCGGAAGAACACCGGAGGCGAAGGCGGCUUGCUGGACCUGGUCUGACGCUGAGGCGCGAAAGCGUGGGGAGCGAACAGG